rnacentral:rRNA from 1 species
UACGGGGGGGGCAAGCGUUGUUCGGAAUUACUGGGCGUAAAGGGUGCGUAGGUGGUGAGGUAAGUCGGAUGUGAAAGCUCGGAGCUCAACUCCGAAAUGGCAUUGGAAACUACCUUGCUCGAGGGUUGGAGGGGGGACUGGAAUACUUGGUGUAGCAGUGAAAUGCGUAGAUAUCAAGUGGAACACCAGUGGCGAAGGCGAGUCCCUGGACAACUCCUGACACUGAGGCACGAAAGCUAGGGGAGCAAACAGG